CAAAAACAAUAAAAAGCAUGACGUCAAAAUAUGUCCAUAAUAAUUUGACCAAAGUGUCAAAACACAACAGGGACAAUUUGAGCUUCUGGACAAACUUUAGAGUACUACAAACAUGAAUAAAUGUUUUUUUUUCAAAGUCAAAUUUAUUUUCUGAAAAACUAAAAAGGGUGUUGUUGUUGUUGUUGUGCCGGUUUGAGUCGCAGCCUGUUGACCUUUGCCGCAUGUCUUCCCCCUCAGUCAUAACCAACUUUUGUACGAUUUCAAUGUCAGAUAAAGGCCACUGGAGCCAAAAAAAAAAAAAAACUAAAAACACUGCAGAAAAAAUGUCUCAAAACAUUAAAAGCAUUAAGAUAAAGAAGGGUUCAGGUUGUAUUCGGCUUGCAAACAAUAAUUAUAAUUCUCUUGUCUUUUCAGUCUGUUCACACAACUCUAAGCUUUCAAAUGAAAAGGUGCAACAUUUAGUGGGUGGAUAUAAGAUUCACUCUGCCAGGAAUUUGUGCUCCAGGAUCAAAAUUAGAAAUUAUCUCUGUUUUUCUUGAGAUAAUUAUCUUUAAAUCUGCAGGAAGGACAACUUAGAGACUACGACUUAUCCUCAGAGCUGUGGGCACUUCUCAGCGCUUGCUUUCCAGAAAGCAUAGAUGUGCUGUGAGUGUCUGGGACGAACAGGCAUCUAUUUUUGUCGCAAGCAUCACGAGAUGAGUUGAGCGAGCUCCUGCUACGUAACUGGACUCAUCUUUUUUGCCAGAGCCACAUCGUACAGUAAACAUGCUUUCAUUACCUAGAUAUUAUUUUACAGUGGAAGGUUUCAACAGUCAAAGUUACAAUAACAAUUGACAUCAGUCCAUUAAACAAAUGUUUCAGUCUCCCACCAACCUGUUAUAAUGCAAAAAUAUGUCUGGAUGCAUAGAUAUUCAAAAAUGUAUUCAAAGAUUAAUGAACAACAAAAAAAAAAAACACAAAACAGAGCUCCCAAGUGUUUGUAUCAUCUAUGCCAAAGUAACAGAUGCAUUGCUAAAAAAGCUGCAGAAAUAAUUAAAUAUGUGAAGGAAAACAGACGGACAAUCAUUAAAUUAUGUGCCAAAACAGACAAACUGUUUCACCAACGCAAAACCAUUUCACAGAGAAAGAAAACCCACUUACAGUCCUGCCUACUGUUAGUAAAAAAAAAAAAAAA